rfam:Myotis lucifugus cont2.1313, whole genome shotgun sequence.
GGAGGUUCUCGGGUGAUGCACCCUGGAAUCAGGCUCUCUCCUCUCUGAUUCUGGGUGCGUCACCUGAGAACUGCA